GCCGAGAUGGCGGAAUUGGUAGACGCACUAGCUUCAGGUGCUAGCGCUCGCAAGGGCAUGGAGGUUCGAGUCCUCUUCUCGGCA
rnacentral:tRNA from 1 species